UGCCUAACACAUGCAAGUCGAACGGCAGCACAGUAUCGGGCAACCGAUAUGGGUGGCGAGUGGCGGACGGGUGAGUAAUACGUAAGGACCUGCCCUAGAGAGGGGGACAACCCGGGGAAACUCGGGCUAAUACCGCAUACUACUCUGAGGAGGAAAGCUGCCUGGCGCUUCGGUGUCCGGUGGCGCUCGAGGAGGGGCUUACGGCCGAUUAGCUAGUUGGUAGGGUAAAAGCCUACCAAGGCAGAGAUCGGUAGCUGGUCUGAGAGGAUGAUCAGCCACACUGGGACUGAGACACGGCCCAGACUCCUACGGGAGGCAGCAGUGGGGAAUAUUGGACAAUGGGGGCAACCCUGAUCCAGCGAUGCCGCGUGUGUGAAGAAGGCCUUCGGGUUGUAAAGCGC
rnacentral:rRNA from 1 species